AAAUUGAAGAGUUUGAUCAUGGCUCAGAUUGAACGCUGGCGGCAGGCCUAACACAUGCAAGUCGAACGGUAACAGAAAGCAGCUUGCUGCUUUGCUGACGAGUGGCGGACGGGUGAGUAAUGUCUGGGAAACUGCCCGAUGGAGGGGGAUAACUACUGGAAACGG
rnacentral:rRNA from 1 species